rnacentral:tRNA from 1 species
CGGAGUGUAGUAUAGCGGUAGUAUACACGAUUCGGGUUCGUGUGACCCGGGUUCGAUUCCCGGCACUCCGA